GACGAACGCUGGCGGCGUGCUUAACACAUGCAAGUCGAACGAGGUCCACUCUUCGGGGUGGGUUCUAGUGGCGAACGGGUGAGUAACACGUGGGCAACCUGCCCCUGGCUCUGGGAUAACUCCAAGAAAUUGGGGCGUAAUACCGGAUAUUCACUGCUGGCCGCAUGGUUGGUGGUGGAAAGAUUUAUCGGCUGGGGAGUGGGCCCGCGGCCUAUCAGCUUGUUGGUGGGGUAGUGGCCUACCAAGGCGACGACGGGUAGCCGGCCUGAGAGGGUG
rnacentral:rRNA from 1 species